CCUACGGGCGGCUGCAGUGAGGAAUAUUGGUCAAUGGACGAGAGUCUGAACCAGCCAAGUAGCGUGAAGGAUGACUGCCCUAUGGGUUGUAAACUUCUUUUAUAAAGGAAUAAAACGAGGCACGUGUGCCUUUUUGCAUGUACUUUAUGAAUAAGGAUCGGCUAACUCCGUGCCAGCAGCCGCGGUAAUACGGAGGAUCCGAGCGUUAUCCGGAUUUAUUGGGUUUAAAGGGAGCGUAGAUGGGUUGUUAAGUCAGUUGUGAAAGUUUGCGGCUCAACCGUAAAAUUGCAAUUGAUACUGGCAGUCGUGAGUACAGUUGAGGUAGGCGGAAUUCGUGGUGUAGCGGUGAAAUGCUUAGAUAUCACGAAGAACCCCGAUUGCGAAGGCAGCUUACUAAACUGUGACUGACAUUGAUGCUCGAGAGUGUGGGUAUCAAACAGGAUUAGAUACCCGGGUAGUC
rnacentral:rRNA from 1 species